GUUGUGAGAAGGAAUAGACACCUUCCCUCAUCUCCAGGACAGGAGCCAGGUGGACCACUACGCUGAGCUCCAUUGCCAAGUUAACCGAAGGUGGAGGAGGAGGAAACGGGAGCGAGAGCGGGAGCAGGAGAGAUCUCUCACUGAUCAAGGUCACCGCCGCUCAAGAUCUCUCGGGAAAGAUAAAGAAGACACACGGGUGGUGCCUCUAGGUCCGAGGUUCCUCUACAGAACUAAGGUUUCAGGAGCCAGAUGAGGGCGGCUGCAGAAGGCUGGUGAUGUCUGCACACCAAAGGUCCUGAGAGCUCUGCUUUCGGAUCCUUGGCAAUCAUUUACUAUUAAAAGGUGGUUGAGAGAGAAGGGUAACUGCUGCUGGGG
rnacentral:lncRNA from 1 species